ACGAACGCUGGCGGCAUGCCUAACACAUGCAAGUCGAACGAGACCUUCGGGUCUAGUGUCGCACGGGUGCGUAACGCGUGGGAACCUGCCCUUAGGUUCGGAAUAACUCCCCGAAAGGGGUGCUAAUACCGGAUAAUGUCUUCGGACCAAAGAUUUAUCGCCUUUGGAUGGGCCCGCGUUGGAUUAGCUAGUUGGUAGGGUAAAAGCCUACCAAGGCGACGAUCCAUAGCUGGUCUGAGAGGAUGAUCAGCCACACUGGGACUGAGACACGGCCCAGACUCCUACGGGAGGAAGAAGUGGGGAAUAUUGGACAAUGGGCGAAAGCCUGAUCCAGCAAUGCCGCGUGAGUGAUGAAGGCCUUAGGGUUGUAAAGCUCUUUUACCCGGGAUGAUAAUGACAGUACCGGGAGAAUAAGCGCCGGCUAACUCCGUG
rnacentral:rRNA from 1 species